GAUAACCUACCUAUAAGACUGGGAUAACUUCGGGAAACCGGAGCUAAUACCGGAUAAUAUUUUGAACCGCAUGAUUCAAAAGUGAAAGACGGUCUUGCUGUCACUUAUAGAUGGAUCCGCGCUGCAUUAGCUAGUUGGUAAGGUAACGGCUUACCAAGGCAACGAUGCAUAGCCGACCUGAGAGGGUGAUCGGCCACACUGGAACUGAGACACGGUCCAGACUCCUACGGGAGGCAGCAGUAGGGAAUCUUCCGCAAUGGGCGAAAGCCUGAUGGAGCAACGCCGCGUGAGUGAUGAAGGUCUUCGGAUCGUAAAACUCUGUUAUUAGGGAAGAACAUAUGUGUAAGUAACUGUGCACAUCUUGACGGUACCUAAUCAGAAAGCCACGGCUAACUACGUGCCAGCAGCCGCGGUAAUACGUAGGUGGCAAGCGUUAUCCGGAAUUAUUGGGCGUAAAGCGCGCGUAGGCGGUUUUUUAAGUCUGAUGUGAAAGCCCACGGCUCAACCGUGGAGGGUCAUUGGAAACUGGAAAACUUGAGUGCAGAAGAGGAAAGUGGAAUUCCAUGUGUAGCGGUGAAAUGCGCAGAGAUAUGGAGGAACACCAGUGG
rnacentral:rRNA from 1 species